UGUGAUAAAAUACUUCCCAGAGUCAAGUUGAAGAUGGAAGGCUUGGUUUUGGCUCCCAGUUUAAGGGUACAGCCUGUCAUGUUGAGAGGGGCUUGGGGCAGGAGGCUGAGGCUGCCGGUUACACUGCGUCCACACUCAGAAAGCAAAGAGGUGGACCCCGGGCUCAUUCCGCUAGGGUCCCCAGCUCGUGGGAUGGCGGCUCCUAGAUUCAAGGAGGACCUUCCUUUAAUGGAACCCUGCCGGGGAUGCCCUCAGACACACCCAGAGGUGUGUUCCUCCGGCGAUUCUCAGUCCAUCAAGUUGGCAGAUAAAAGAUGGAGCAGCGUCACAGUGGCUGACCGCGGCCACUUAUGCCCGAGCCUCCUUCUCUGAGAGUAGAGACGGUGUGGGGAGAUUUCAAGAUGUGGGGCGUGAAGUGCUGACUGUUAGUGGUCCUCCGUUAUCUGACCGCUGCCUGAUGCUGGCGGUCUUCCGUUAGCCUGAAGACUGGCGGUGCUUCCUCAGAACCUCACCGCAGCCUGGCUUCCAUCAGACUUCAACUACUGAGGCACACUAGAGUCGCCGGCUCCCGGUGGCCCUGAUUGAGCCU
rnacentral:lncRNA from 1 species